rnacentral:lncRNA from 1 species
GUGAAAUCCUUUAAAAUGGCGCAAGCCACUAGCGUGCAGUAGUACUGCGAACUGGGAGGUUAUUUUGGACGGGCGUUUGUUAUCAUUAUCGCCAUGGAGCAGGUACAAGUGUUUUGAGGGGCAGUGUAUGGGAAGGAAAUUUCAAUGCUUAGAAGAAACCGCAAGAGUAAUAGACAACGCUGAAUUGUAGAGUUUGGCUUAAGAGAUGAAAACUGCAGUUUAGCUGUUAAUAGAAAUGAUAGACCGCGCCUUCGCUUCAUCACAAGGGGGAUCAAAGUGAGCUUGAGACCAGCCACAUGUUCAAUUCAUCCUUUGAAGAAUUUUCAGAUGAAGAGAUAUCUACCAAGAAGGAGCGACACUGGAGACUUGGCCCGGAAGACCUGAAUGAGACAUUGUUGUACAAUUUCCCUGGACUAGAUCGUGCUCUGUUUCUGGUGGAGCUUUCAACAUCAGAAGAUCUUCAAAAUCUAGAGAAGAGGUCCAGUGAUGCAUGAAGGUCCACAGUUGGGUAAACCCCAACUGGUGGUUGAGACUAUUUAAAAGCAGAAAGUGUAAAGUGAAGUUGCAGCACUUCUCCUAGAGCAAGAUUUAAGGAUGACGUUCUUUACAAAAGUGAAAAAACGUGGGUAACAAAAGUUUGCCUGAAGUAACUUGUAAUGUAAAUUUCAAUGUAUAUACAAAUAGUGUCUGUGUAUUGAUUAUUAUUUUUUUUGGCAGAAAUGUAUUUAAUAAGCAUGAUCCAGUUUGGAGUUCUAUUUUAAUCCAAAUAACCUUGUCUGUUGGUUUGUGUUGUCCACAAUUAAAGUGACGUUCUAAGUUUUUGAAUGGCACUCCUGGAGGUAUAUUAAGUGUGCAGUAUUUAACCUGUUUUUAUUAAGUACACCUUUUCGGAUUCAUUCUACUUACUGCUUUAAUUGAAGUUUCUAGAUUGACAUCCCAUAGAGGUACAGUAUGUAUCUUCCAAGAGUUUUUAUUUUGUGACUUGAAUUUUGUCUGUGGAAAAGGAAACCACUGAAGCUGAGUGAGAACGAGAAGGUUUUGCUCUUUUUAAAGGCUUGGGGAGAAAUAGUGCAUAAAGCGAUUGAUAAUGUGUAGCAGGGCAUCCGUCUUGAGUGACUAGCCCAGUAGGCCUGGACUGGUGACAAGGAUGGCAGAGAGUCCUUUGAUAAACUGAAGCAUUCCUGUAAGUGGUUGUACUGUAGGUCUCUGAACCUGGAGAUCCCCGAUCUUGUCCUUGAAAUGGCUGGUCUGUUUCCAUGAUUUCUAGAUCUCUUCAA